GCAUAAACCUUCCACUCUUGAACAAAGCAGCUGCUUUUUAAAAGCGGUAAUUGCUUCUUUACCUUUUAUUUCUUUUGUAAAUGAAGCUUUUCUUUAAGAAUGUGACUUUAAAGUGUUGUCUAUUGCAUAAAACAGUUGACACUCACUUAUUGUAAAGUGAAGAUUGUUCUCCUGCAUGUGAAGUGGACCAUGCAGAUUUCUGUAUGUUCUCAGUAUGCAUCACUAGAUAAUAAAGUCUUUUGUGAACAAGGCAUUUGUAGCCAUUUUUAAAAGUUUUUGUCUUCAGUGCUGGUAAGUCAGGUAAACCAUAAAUAGUUAAAAAGCAACCUUUCAUUUCUUCCUUUAAGUCUUUAAAAGAUUUAUUUGUUAAAGAUGUAAGCUUAGCCACAAGUUGAUCAUUUUUUAUUAAUAGUCAGGAUCCUAUUUCAUCAAAAAAAAAAAAAAUCCUACAAAUAUUGUCAGCUUUCAGUGUAGUGAGAUAAUUCCUGUAGGUUGCAGGGUGUAAUUCAGGAUUUAACUAAUGUUUCUGCUAUUUUCUCACUUUUCCUUUUGAUGGUGCGGAAAGAGAAAAGGAAAACGGGGCACAGGCCACUCACCGCCUUCUCCAAGGGGUCUGAUUUGCUGAGACACCAGCUUCACCUUCUUAACAAGGUGCAGUUCAGUGGAAGAUGAUGACAGCCAGAAGACAUGAGCUAAGGGUAAGGGACUGUUCUUCUGAAGAAUCUUUCCAUUUAGUGAUCAAGAUUUGGAAGCUGGUCUCUGAAAAUACUCGAUAUGUAUCCCAGUUACUCAUGGUAUCAUUUGAAUUGUAACUUGCAAUUUAGCAGUAAUGUUUCCAGUUAUUGGGAAAACUUAAUAAAAUAUGCCUCUUGUUACCAUAUUGUUUCCUGAUUUUUCCUUUCUGGAGUUUGCUAUUUUACAUUUAGUUGUAAGUUAAAACACCCAUUUCCUACCUAAAGUUUCUUAGAUGCUGUUUCACUGGUGUGUAUAGAAGUGCUUUGAAAGGUAUUCUGUGCCCAAAUAUGAUUGGCAGCUGCCAGACUAAAGUUAGAUAUUUAUGUUAAAACUUCUCAGAAGAUACCUGAUGUGUGUUUGUGAAUCUCGGUGUAGAGAGAAGCGGAACCCGCUGCAUGGAAACAGCCAGUUUCCAUGAUCGUCCUUACGAAAACAUCAAAGUGCUUCCUAGCAACUAUUAGUGCAGAGCACACGCCAAAGGGUGUGGUAUUCC
rnacentral:lncRNA from 1 species